ensembl:ncRNA C46F11.7 ncRNA
AAAAAAACGGGUUGGCGCCCCCCGGAGAAGACGAGAUGCGGGACGAAUAAUUUGGUUUUGACAACGACGGAAAAUACGAAGAAGACGAAGAAGAAGACGACG